UCCGGCUUACCACCGGCAGUCCCACUAGAGUGCGCAACUUAAUGAUGGCAACUAAUGGCGAGGGUUGCGCUCGUUGCGGGACUUAACCCAACAUCUCACGACACGAGCUGACGACAGCCAUGCAGCACCUGUGUCCAGGUUCCCUUUCGGGCACCCCUCCAUCUCUGGAGGAUUCCUGGCAAGUCAAGGGUAGGUAAGGUUUUUCGCGUUGCAUCGAAUUAAUCCACAUAAUCCACCGCUUGUGCGGGUCCCCGUCAAUUCCUUUGAGUUUUAGCCUUGCGGCCGUACUCCCCAGGCGGGGUGCUUAAUGCGUUAGCUUCGGCACGGAGGGGGUCGAUGUCCCCCCACACCUAGCACCCAUCGUUUACGGCUAGGACUAC
rnacentral:misc_RNA from 1 species